CCUCAUUAACAGUUCAUUAACAGAGGUCGAUUCUCUUGAUUGGACAUGGAAGGUCAAAUUUCUACGCAAGAUAUAUGUACAUAUAUAAGUCUUCCAUCAGCUUGGUUUAAGCUGAUUUUGAAUUUCACGAAUGAAUCGGAAUCUGAUGGAAAGCUUUUGUAUGGAAGUAGUUGAUUACGUAAAAGAUUGCAUCACAAGAAUCAAAUCAUUACAAAAAUAACAUUCAACUUAAUUAGUGGAUCGCGUGAUCCAUAGUUCCCUUUGUCUUCUACUCGUACUGCCACCAGGAAGCAAAAAGUAAAUUAUUACAAAUCAUUGAAAUUGCUUGUGUAAAAUAAACAAAGGAGACAAGGCACACCCUCUACUUAGAGCUGACAAAAUAUGUACAUAGACGAGUGCAUAAAGCGAAUUUUAAGUGAUUUAUUGCACAAAGAAAAUCGAAAUUAAUUAAUCAGCUGAGAGAGCCAAGCCAGCAACAAAAUGCGCACUACUAGUAAUUAAGAUUAGUAAUUAUCAUUGACAAGAUCGAACACGAAGGAAACCCCCCCUUUUAUUAGACACAACGUGCCGGCAUAUAACGCUACGCUGAUAAUGAAGCCUUUCGUAAACAGCAGGCACAUGGGUACAAGUGAAUAGGAACCACAAUGCAAAGAUAGUGUCGUGUCGAUUGUUCUGGUAGGAGAUUAAUGUAUAGGGGUCGGUCUGUUGGCCUACAGAAAGAAACCGAAAGUGGGACGGGACUGAAACUGGGACUGACCCACAGAAAAGCACAAAAUGAGGCGCGAAUCGGAGCCGAAGAGACAGGGGCGGGUAGCUUUAAAGCUGACCAGCGCCACCAGGUAAACGACCGAAACGAAACAGAUAGCUGGACGUUCAAAUCGCGCGAGCUCCGAGGGUGAUCGUGCCAACGAGAUCGGUGGAGAGAGAGAGCGCAGCGCGAACACGACCGUGCUGUCCAGUCAAUAUGCGAAACCGAACUGAGACGCUAAAAAGGUGAUUAAAUUGUAAAUGUUUCGUGCGAUUCCGAUUUUAAAAUAAAAGUAUAAAGUAUAUGAUCGCUGGGACAACAGCUGAGCGCAAGUGCCACGCGACUGAUCGAGUGCCUGGUGCAUGGUCUAUCCGUAAGGUAAGGCAUUGGCCAGUUGCUACUCCAUCAUCUAUAAUAAAACUCACUCACUAAACCCUUGACUGAGACACAAAUAUACAGGUGGGCUCUGUAGACUUACUGUUAUAUAAACUCAAUAAUAAACUCAUUGACAGGGCAAUAACAGUGGCAGCAGACAGUUUACAGUCGCUUAACAGAGGUUUUGUUUGCAGACUGUGGAUUGCCAUACCACUUCAAAACGAAACAUUUUGGCAAACACACUAAUUGAUUAACAGCGCAUUUCCGCAUCGCUGCCAGGCCCCCCAUUGGUGGGACCUGGGGCGGAGGAGGCCGCGGCACUGCUGAGACGACCACUGUUUACAUGCAACAGGUGAUUCUCAUGAUCGUCGUAGUAGGAGCCCCCGCCGCCGUUGGAAUUGUUUGACCCAACUCCCCCC